rnacentral:lncRNA from 1 species
UUUCCUAAUAUGCAGACAAAUUUUUCCCCUAUCUUUCGAUGUGGGACUGGGGUGUUACAAACUCCCCCACUUAAAUUUCUGACGUCCUCGUCAGAACCGAUCACACACACGGCCCAAAGAUCUUUGCCUCUCUAGCCAUUGUGGGAUAAUACCGGCUGGCUUCGUGUCCCCACCUCCGGACCUUCAUCUCUCCAUUGUGGGAUAAUACCACCAGCUUUCGUGUCCCCACCUCCGGCAACCCGAUCGGAUGACCCGACCCGAGCUUUCGAGAGUCGGCUCUGAUACCAUAUGAAACAACCCGGGUCAAAUCCCGAGU